GUCUUUUAGAUUAUAAUUUAAAGUCUGGCCUGCCCUAUGAAAAAUUAAAUGGCCGCAGUAUUUUGACUGUGCAAAGGUAGCAUAAUAAUUAGUUUUUUAAUUGAAAGCUGGAAUGAAAGGUUGAACGAAAAAAUAUCUGUCUCAAUUUAAUUUAAUUAGAAUUUUAUUUUUUAGUAAAAAAGCUAAAAUAAUUUUUAAAGACGAGAAGACCCUAUAGAGUUUUAUAUUUUAAUAUUAUAUAUUUUAUAGAAUUAUUUUAUGAUUUUAAAUAUUUUAUUGGGGUGAUAAAUAAAUUUAAAUAACUUUAUUAAUUUCUUACAUUAAUAUAUGAUUAAUUGAUCCAUAAAAAUGAUUAAAGAUUAAAUUACCUUAGGGAUAACAGCGUUAUUUUUUUUUAGAGUUCUUAUCGAAAAAAAAGAUUGCGACCUCGAUGUUGGAUUAAAAUUUAUUUAUGGUGUAGAAGCUAUAAUAUUAGGUCUGUUCGACCUUUAAAAUUUUACAUGAUCUGAGUUCAGACCG
rnacentral:rRNA from 1 species